GGUCGCGGCUUUGCCUAUUGUCUGGGUUACGGUGCUGGGUUGGGGACGCUGCAGGCACUUUUUCCAGCCUUAGCUGACCGAAAGGGGAUCGAAGCGCCCUGCCGGGCUUAGACUACUCUCUAUGGGCCCGGGAGCGGCUGCUCGGCCCCAGCGAUGGAUCGGAGCUCCAAGAGGAGGCAGGUGAAGCCUUUGGCAGCUUCCCUGCUAGAAGCUUUAGAUUAUGACAGCUCAGAUGACAGUGACUUUAAGGUUGGAGAUGCUUCAGAUUCUGAAGGCAGUGGACAUGGCAGUGAAGAUGGAUCAAAGGAUAGCGGAGAAGGAUCCUGUAGUGAAUCAGAGGAAAAUGUCUUGGAGGAAGACCUGGCAGAAGGAGGAAAGAUAGAGGAAGAACAACCAAAGAGCUCAGGUGGAGAAGAGCUGCCAAUAAUGGAGAAAGACGUGAUUAAAACUGAAAAAAAAGAUGAGGAGGAUGGAGAAGAAGACAAACCAAGAAAGAAAAGAGAGAAAGAAAGACCUUCUGAAACAGAUGUCAGCAUUGAUGAGCAAACAAAUGAACCAAAAAAAUGGAACUUGCGAAGAAACCGCCCUUUGCUAGAUUUUGUUUCCAUGGAGGAGCUAAAUGACAUAGAUGAUUAUGACAGUGAAGAUGACAAUGACUGGCGACCAACUGCUGGAAAGAAGAAAGGGAAAAGCACAUUACGGAAAGAGGGAAGUGAUGGAGAUAAUGAGGAUGAUGAAGAUGAUGGGAGUGGAAGUGAUGAGGAUGACAAUGAAGAGGAAGGCAAUGAUGAGGAUGAGGAGGAUGAUAACAGCAGUGCUGAUAGUGAUGGUGGAUCCAAGAAGAAAAAAGCGAAAGCUCUUAGCAGGAAUAGUGCUGAUGAUGAGGAGCUGACAAAUGAUAGCCUGGCCCUUUCACAAAGCAAGAGCAAUGAGGACUCGCUGAUUCUUGAGAAGUCUCAAAACUGGAGCUCCCAGAAAAUGGACCAUAUUAUGAUUUGUUGUGUUUGUCUUGGGGACAAUAGUGAAGAUGCUGAUGAAAUAAUCCAAUGUGACAAUUGUGGGAUAACAGUGCAUGAAGGUUGUUACGGUGUUGAUGGUGAAAGCGAUUCUAUUAUGAGCUCUGCUUCAGAAAACUCCACUGAACCGUGGUUCUGUGAUGCUUGUAAAUGUGGUGUAUCUCCAAGCUGCGAACUCUGUCCCAACCAAGAUGGAAUCUUCAAGGAGACAGAUGCCGGCAGGUGGGUCCACAUUGUUUGUGCCCUCUAUGUUCCCGGAGUAGCAUUUGGAGAUAUUGACAAACUGAGACCUGUAACGCUUACAGAAAUGAACUAUUCUAAGUAUGGAGCAAAGGAAUGCAGUUUCUGUGAAGAUCCUCGUUUUGCCAGGACUGGUGUUUGCAUUAGUUGUGAUGCUGGGAUGUGCAGAGCUUAUUUCCAUGUGACUUGUGCUCAGAAAGAAGGCUUAUUGUCAGAAGCAGCAGCAGAGGAGGAUAUUGCAGAUCCUUUUUUUGCUUAUUGUAAGCAACAUGCAGACAGGAUGGAUAGAAAAUGGAAGCGCAAGAACUAUUUGGCUUUACAGUCUUAUUGCAAAAUGUCUUUGCAAGAGAGAGAAAAACAGCUCUCCCCCGAAGCUCAGGCACGAAUUAAUGCUAGACUACAACAAUAUCGUGCCAAGGCAGAAUUAGCACGUACCACAAGGCCUCAGGCUUGGGUACCAAGGGAAAAACUGCCCCGACCGCUCACCAGCAGUGCUUCAGCAAUUCGUAAACUGAUGCGCAAAGCUGAAUUAAUGGGGAUCAGUACAGACAUCUUUCCAGUGGAUACUUCAGAUACCAGUUCCAGCGUGGAUGGAAGAAGGAAACACAAACAGCCAGCUCUGACGGCCGAUUUUGUGAAUUAUUAUCUUGAGCGAAACAUGCGCAUGAUCCAGAUUCAAGAGAACAUGUCAGAACAAAAGAAGAUUAAGGAUAAGCUGGAGAAUGAGCAAGAAAAACUUCAUGUGGAGUACAACAAGCUGUGUGAGUCUUUAGAAGAACUUCAGAACAUGAAUGCAAAACUACGAAAUGAAGGACAAGGAAUGUGGGCUGUGCUAGGUAGAAUAAUUGGGCAGAAAUUGAAUAUACCAGCAAUUUUGCGUGCACCCAAGGAGAGAAAGCCAAGUAAAAAAGAAGGUGGAACCCAGAAGACUACAACCCUUCCAGCAGUGCUUUAUAGUUGUGGAAUUUGCAAGAAGAACCAUGAUCAACAUCUCCUUUUGCUGUGUGAUACUUGUAAACUGCAUUAUCAUCUUGGAUGUCUGGACCCACCACUUUCAAGGAUGCCAAGGAAGACCAAAAAUAGUUACUGGCAGUGUUCAGAGUGUGACCAAGCAGGUAGCAGUGACAUGGAAACAGACAUUGCCAUGGAAACUUUGCCAGAUGGUACUAAGCGAUCAAGGAGGCAGAUCAAGGAGCCAGUGAAAUUUGUUCCACAGGAUGUACCCCCAGAACCAAAGAAAAUUCCUAUCAGAAACACGAGAACUAGAGGACGAAAACGGAGCUUCCUUCUUGAAGAAGAAAAACUCGAGGAACGCAUUCCUAGAGAAAGAAGACAGAGGCAGUCUGUAGUACAAAAGAAGCCAAAAUCUGAGGAUCUAAGAACUGAAUGUGCCACAUGCAAGGGGACUGGAGACAAUGAAAAUCUAGUCAGGUGGUGAUGCCACUGCAGCGACCGUCGUUAGGUCAGGGUGCAACCUACUUGUGGGUCCUGAACCAAUGAGCUAUAUGGUCUUUUUGAUCCCUUCCAGCUUAUGAUUGUUAAUGCCUUCUUCUAUUUAAAGCAUUCAUCCAGCUUAAUGAUACUCUUCCUGAGACACUACUCUGCCACAACUCAUCUUCGGAGGCAGUCCUGGAAACUUCUUUUAUAAAUGUGUUUUUUAAAAAACUGUGGAUAAAACUUUCAAUAGAAUACAUACUUGAUGAAAUCAUUAUAUUAUCCUGUCUGUAUUGUUAGUUGUGAUAAAAAAUAGAGUUUACUUGCUAGGUCUUGUAGAAUGUAACCAAUUGGUAUGUUACUUGGACUGACAAGGCAGUUAAUUUACUAGAUAUUUUCUUUACGCUAAUCAGGCACAUUUGAUAUGUGCAUUGCUGGAAAAUGCUGGAUAAAUGUCUUGUCAGAAUUGUUCUGUUAAGUAAUUUUGUCUCCCGUUGUGAUUCCUUGGCAAAUGAUGAUAUACAGUACUUGGACUCACUGAAGAGUGACAGGAGCCUAUGGGACUUCAUACUUUAUAUGAUACUGAAUGGAAAAAGCAAUGCUUUGUCAUUUGUUGGCUGUUCUGCUUUCUCUGCCUCUUAAUAAGCAUAUUCCUAUAUAAAAUAAUGUGUUGUGUAGUUACAUGUAAAGGGCUUCUUUUCUGUAAAAAUGUCAAGUGCAGAGCAAUGAGAUGUGUAACACAUUUUACACUUUCUCAUAACAAAACAAUAGUUUGAUACAGAGGAAGAGAUUUUGUCCGUAUUAGUCUGAUCAAAUUGGUUUCAUUUCAGAAUUCACUGAGUGAACAAAAAACACAUUUUUUCGCUAGUUAAAUGGUUGUGAUAGAAGAAAGCACAAACCCUGUGAGACGGACUGGGGUUGUGUUCUGGGUGUUCCAAUUGUUGCUUUCUUCCCAAAUAAGUAACACUUCUUGCGGUGUUCUGGGGAAAUAAAAAGUUGACUAUCUGCCAUUGCCAAGCAAAGGUUGUUCAUUAACCUUUUAUUUCAACAGCAAAAGUCUAUUACAUACUUAUUUAAUUUUGCUGUGUUUGAAAGCAGUUUGUUUCCAUGCAUUUAUGCCUGUAUCACUGGACUAUAUAUGCUGCAGUUCAUCCAACAUAUAUACACACGUGGAGGGUCUUUGCUUUUACUGCUAAAGAGGAAAGAUACUGUAUUCUGAACUGAAAGGUAAUUUGGCUUUUCAGCAUUGAAAGAAACUCCAAGGAAACUCUCCCUGCAGACACCUAUAUCUUUGUUGGUAUUAGAAGUUCUUGAUAUAUGACAGUAAGGUAAUAUCUUGAAGUAUUUUGCAAGGUAUAUUUUUUCCUGUUUUAAAAGAUGCUCCAUACCCACAGAGUAAGACAUGAAAGCUGUAUAACAACAAAUGAUCAAUCAGUGUAUUGAAAUGGUCAUGGCUAAGAGGUUAUAUUAUACAA